rnacentral:rRNA from 1 species
CGGGGGGGGCAAGCGUUGUUCGGAAUUACUGGGCGUAAAGGGCGCGUAGGCGGCCUUCUAAGUCAGACGUGAAAUCCCUCGGCUCAACCGGGGAACUGCGUCUGAUACUGGAAGGCUUGAAUCCGGGAGAGGGAUGUGGAAUUCCAGGUGUAGCGGUGAAAUGCGUAGAUAUCUGGAGGAACACCGGUGGCGAAGGCGGCAUCCUGGACCGGUAUUGACGCUGAGGCGCGAAAGCUAGGGGAGCAAACGGGAUUAGAUACCCCGGUAGUCCUAGCCCUAAACGAUGAGUGCUUGGUGUGGCGGGUAUCGAUCCCUGCCGUGCCGAAGCUAACGCAUUAAGCACUCCGCCUGGGGAGUACGGUCGCAAGGCUG